GACAGAGGGGGCAAGCGUUGCUCGGAAUCACUGGGCGUAAAGGGCGCGUAGGCGGGAUGGCAAGUCGAUCGUGAAAUCCUUCGGCUCAACCGAAGAACGUCGGCCGAUACUGCCGUUCUUGAGGGAUGCAGAGGAGAUUGGAAUUCCCGGUGUAGCGGUGAAAUGUGUAGAGAUCGGGAGGAACACCGGUGGCGAAGGCGGGUCUCUGGGCAUCUCCUGACGCUGAGGCGCGAAAGCGUGGGGAGCAAACGGG
rnacentral:rRNA from 1 species